rnacentral:rRNA from 1 species
CCUACGGGGUGCUGCAGUGGGGGAUAUUGCACAAUGGGGGAAACCCUGAUGCAGCGACGCCGCGUGGGUGAAGAAGGGCCUCGGCGCGUAAAGCCCUGUCAGCAGGGAAGAAAAUGACGGUACCUGACGAAGAAGCCCCGGCUAACUACGUGCCAGCAGCCGCGGUAAUACGUAGGGGGCAAGCGUUAUCCGGAUUGACGGGGUGUAAAGGGGGCGCAGACGGCGAAGCAAGCCAGGGGUGAAAGCCCGGGGCCCAACCGCGGGACGGCUCUUGGAACGGCGUGGUUAGGGUGCAGGAGGGGCAGCCGGAAUUCGUGUGGUGGCGGUGAAAGGCGUGGAUAUCAGGAGGAACACCGGUGGCGAAGGCGGCCUGCUGGACUGCAACUGACGUUGAGGCCCGAAAGCGUGGGAGCAAACAGGAUUAGAUACCCGUGUAGUC